rnacentral:rRNA from 1 species
CAGCCGCCGCGGGAAUACGUAGGUGGCAAGCGUUAUCCGGAAUUAUUGGGCGUAAAGCGCGCGUAGGCGGUUUUUUAAGUCUGAUGUGAAAGCCCACGGCUCAACCGUGGAGGGUCAUUGGAAACUGGAAAACUUGAGUGCAGAAGAGGAAAGUGGAAUUCCAUGUGUAGCGGUGAAAUGCGCAGAGAUAUGGAGGAACACCAGCGGCGAAGGCGACUUUCUGGUCUGUAACUGACGCUGAUGUGCGAAAGCGUGGGGAUCAAACAGGAUUAGAUACCCCAGUAGUCCCUGUCUCUUAUAA